UCAUAGAAUUUCUUUAAAUUCAUGAUGUCGUAAGGGAAAAUAAUGAUAUUACCUUACUAUGAGUGUCGUCCAAAGCUGGUGCCAGAAGACUCGGUAAGACCAGAGACGCAAACGUUAAUCAUCUUAAACAGGCGUAAAGGGUUUGUAGGCAGCUUUCAUAAAAUUAUUUUUACAAAAAUAAAGAAGUGGUCUUAUUGAAAGCUAGAAUCAAAAAGAGGUUAUAGUGUAUAACGCCUAGAGGAGGGCUGAUAUCCUUAGAUCCUAGGCAGAAUACUUAGGGCGAAGGCCACUCUCCACUAAUGAUUGACGCUGAGAAACGAAGGUAAGGGUAGGAAAUAGGAUUAGAUACCCCGGUACUCCUUUCUGUAAACGAUGAAUGGUAGUCAUUAGUAAAAUUAAAAAUUACUAGAGACGAAGUUAACACAAUAACCAUUCCGCCUUGUGAGUACUACUGCAAAGUAGAAAACAAAAAAAUUAGUCGGUCUCGAAGCAAACGGAGUGAAGCAUGUUAUUUA
rnacentral:rRNA from 1 species